UUUUCGGCAUUUUCCAUAUGAAAUCAUACUUUAGGACAAUUCAUAAUAGUUGGAGAAUAACCAUGUUACCCUAACUCAUGAGUGACUAUCGGGGACGAGUAUGUACCCGUUAUGGAUAUACUCAGUUUCUUUUUAUAGUUUUCAUAUAUCCAAAGAAUCAUACCUCAUACCAAUCAGUAUUUGAGCAUGUGCUAGGCGGAUACGAAUACCUUAGGGGAAAUGAAGAGUCUGCAGACCUACUUGUUGAACACAAAUUAUUUCGUGGUUGUUCUUGAUGAUCUUGUUGUUUUCCCUAUUAACUUGGUGAUUUAUUUCUUGACAUGUUUAGAGACUGCGUUUCGAGCUUCCGAAUGCAAGCAUGCAACGAUUGCCAGAUUGCGGCCACCUUUGUCAUGUCGAUAUGCCUCAGAAUGUUGUGAAGUUGAUAGCAGAUUUUGCUCGAGCCAAAUAACUCCGAGACCAAGAGCCAUUGAUCUAGAUUUGCAGAAGGUAGAUGCUUUAGUAUCAGCAUUAGGGCUUUUUCAGUUCAAGUAAUAACUCAACUGUGGAUUUCUCUGUGUCUUUUAGUUAGCUUUUUUCUAGUAUAUAUACAUAAUAUAAAUAUUUUUUAAAAAGAAAGAAAUAAGAAAAAAAUUGGGAACCAUUGAUGGGUACUUUAAACUUUAAUGAGUAUUUAAUAAAUUAAUUAAUUCCUAAAUUAUGAGAAAAAUACAUUAUUUCUUAGAUGGUAAAAGGGUUUUUAAGAAACUAAGUAAACUUUAAAGGGUCUUUAAGAAAAUUAUUUAAUUUCUUAAGAGUUACUUAAAACCUUAAAGGGUCUUUUUUAAAAAAUAACAAAAUCUUAAACCAUGAAAAAUUACUUAAUUUCUUACUAGUUACAACCUUAAGAAAUUAAUUUCUAAGAAAUUAACUAAUCCCACUAAAUGAGUUUUUAAGAAAUUAAUUGGUAAACCAUGAAAUGAUUACGUACUAGUGUAAUAAUACGAGAAAAAAAUUUGCUUAUUACAUAUGUUUUGUAGCACCCCAAACCCGGCCUAGAAGUUAUGGCCGGAUCUGGCAUACCACAUCAAAAACGUAAAAAAAAAAAUUUCCAUUCUAAGUCUAGAAAAUCGUACUUGAUGUUCAAAAGAUUAAUUCAUUAAAGGUUAAAGUGAAUGGAAGUUGUGCACCAGGUAGGAAACCGGAAAAGAGAUGGUGAGUCCAUCGGACUGCUUAAGUACCAAGCUCCCUUCGGAUCCAAUUCUAGACAUGUAUACCGCCAUUGCCACACCUUAACGUCAUGGAUAUUUUUAAGAAACCGAUUUGAUUAAGUCAUUUUUAGGAAAAGUGAUUAAUUUUGGAAAAUACUUUCAUUGCGGAAGCUUUGCUUGUUGUCAUGUUAUUUUGAAAUCAACUGUUGUUUUUGAAAACGCGCCCUAAAGCUAUCCAAUUUCAACAGUUAAAAUAAGUAUUACCUAUCUUAGUAAUACAUAUUAAAAACCAUCAAAAAUAAAUAAGCGGCCUUAUUACAUUUAAAAACCCAAAACUUCAAACGUAAAUAAAAGGAUGUCCAGUUCACCAGAAGAAAAUCAAACUUUCAGAACAGGUGGCCACUCCGAAUUCUCUCACAGCUCCAAGCCCACUAUGGUUGGGGAUUACCUGCGUGGAUGAAAAUAAAAGGGGUGAGUUUGGGGAAACUCAGUGUGUAAAUUAACCCAACCAUAGCCUAUAUCAGCUUAAACCACAGAAAUAGAAUAAGUUGGCCUUAGCCCAGAACAGAAUUCAAAAUAAAGCCCAUAGGCCCAUAACAGAACAGAACAGAUAUUACAUGUUUAUGCAGAAACCAAACCAUAUCCAACCGUAUACACCCCCGUACCAACCUUACACCGUGUGGGGAGACAACUCGACCCACCCAACCGCUACACACCACAGAAUUUGUAGCAUGGCUGCUAGAACAGAUAAUGAGACAGAGUCACCAGAUACAGAUAAUCGUGGCAGAGCCACCAGAACAGAUAUAUGUGGCAGAGUCACCAGAUCAGAUAUUUGUGGCAUAGCCACCAGAACGCUUCCUCCAUAAUAUAACCCAUGUCCCCAUGCAACAAAUAUAUAAUCAUGGCAUCCAUCAUGCAGAAUCAGAUCGCUAUGCUUUUCAGUCAAAAUUAACCCUACGGGUAUAACGGUAAUUUUGCACCUAGGGGUAUAACAGUAAUUUUCCAUACAUAGGGGUAUUAUAGUAAUUUAGCUACUUUCAGGGUUUUCAUGCAUAUCCUAACUAUUUACGUACUAUCAGAACACUUACCGCGCAUACUUACCGAAUUGGGUCCGUUGGCCCAUGAACCCGAUCUUUGGCCCAUUAAGCCCAAAUUAUCAAAAUGUACGAAAUCGCGCGUACUGCAGUUUAUUACUUUAGAUUACCAAAUAUACAAACCCAACUAUUUUACGAGCAUUCGCACACUCGCAAAUUCCCAAAAUACCGACUUUUCGGCAUUUCGGCUUUUCGGCUUUUGCCAAUCUAGUCUAUGAGAGGGUGUUAGUUACACACCUGUUUGCGACAAUAUGCUAACGAGAUCCACACACGAACUGCCUACAAUUGGAUUACUAACACGUUAAUCUAACUAUUCAAAUACAAACUACGUAUUAACCCCUUACAAUAUUCGGCCAACCACACCUACAGAUCAUAGUAAGCUUAUAAGAAAUCAAUAAGCAACUCAUUAACAAAUUUUUGUCAAUGUUUACCACAUAAUCAUAAUUUCACUGCAAGCUGUCUUCCUGAGCAACAGUCACUAAAUUAUUUAUAACUGGAGCUACGAAACUCCAAAUCAAGUGCCGUUAAUUUUCCCUGAAAAUAGACUCAUAUAUCUUCUAUCCAUAAAAUUUUCAGAAUUUUUGGUAUGGCCAAUCAAUACCAGAUUUUUCUUAAAGUUUCCCAUGUUUCACUGUUUGACUAAUCUGACCACUCUUCAUUACGAAUCAAAUUUCUCAUUAUACAGAAUUCAAAAUAUGUUCUUGUUUAUUUCAUUAGAAACUAGACUCAAUAAUAUUUAAUUACAUAAUUUAUGCAGCUUCUAACUCAUCUUCCACAAUUUAUGGUGAUUUUCCAAAGUCACGUUACUGCUGUUGUCCCAAGCAGAUUUAUUACCAAAUCACUCUUUCACACCUAACUUGCAUGCUUGUUAUUUAAACAUGUAUAUCACCAAUCAAUCAUCACAUAUCUAUGAUUUUACUUAAGUAUAAUCUCCAUUUCAUCAUUUUAAAGCACAACAUGUUAGCUGAUUUUUCCCUUUAACAUCUAAGGCACAUGCAUGCUUAUUUGUUUGGCUCAACUUCACCUAUCUUCCAUUUUUCAUCAAAAGAACAUGAAACAACAACCAUUUCCUUCAUUUUAAUUCAUGACUAAAUGCUCACAACUAAAAAUCAAAAUAUACUUCAAGAGUUAAGGUAGAAUCAAGAAGAACUCAUGAACCUCAAAAUAGAAGCAAGGUACCAAGAACUUACCUUCAAUUUUCCUCCUCCUAAUGACCAAAUACUCAAGAGCUUUCUCCUCUCCUUUCUCUUCUCUAACUUUCAGCUAUGAUGAACAAAGAUGAACAAAACUUUGUUCUUUUCACCCCUUUUUCUUUUAAUAAAACUUCAUAUUUCAUCCAUUUA
rnacentral:lncRNA from 1 species